rnacentral:tRNA from 1 species
UUGGGUAUGGUGUAAUGGUUAGCAUAUAUUUUUUGGGUAGAUAUGAUAUGGGUUCGAAUCCCAUUACCCUGA